CCUACGGGCGGCAGCAGUGGGGAAUAUUGGACAAUGGGGGGAACCCUGAUCCAGCCAUGCCGCGUGUGUGAAGAAGGCCCUCGGGUUGUAAAGCACUUUCAGUGAGGAAGAACGCCUGGUGGUUAAUACCCAUCAGGAAAGACAUCACUCACAGAAGAAGCACCGGCUAACUCCGUGCCAGCAGCCGCGGUAAUACGGAGGGUGCGAGCGUUAAUCGGAAUUACUGGGCGUAAAGCGCGCGUAGGUGGCUUGAUAAGCCGGUUGUGAAAGCCCCGGGCUCAACCUGGGAACGGCAUCCGGAACUGUCAAGCUAGAGUGCAGGAGAGGAAGGUAGACUUCCCGGUGUAGCGGUGAAAUGCGUAGAGAUCGGGAGGAAUACCAGUGGCGAAGGCGGCCUUCUGGACUGACACUGACACUGAGGUGCGAAAGCGUGGGUAGCAAACAGGAUUAGAUACCCCGGUAGUC
rnacentral:rRNA from 1 species